rnacentral:misc_RNA from 1 species
UUAAGUUCAGCGGGUAAUCCUGCCUGAUCUGAGGUCUAAUCUAAAAGUGACUAGAGGGAUUGGAAGCUUCCAUACUCAUUCAUGUUCGGCCACAAGGUAAAACCCCGUGUCCUCAGCGAAUAGUCUAUUACGCUGAGUCAAUCCGAUUACGAAAUUGAGAUGCUAAUGUAUUACGAACGAGCUAAAGUCUUUCGACUAGC